rnacentral:lncRNA from 1 species
GUCGGGGAAAUGCAACUUUAGGGUCAAUCGUCUUGGAGUCCAGCUCGUGGUGCGGCUGGGCCAGCACCUUGUCCACGCUGCCCGGGUCCGCGAACGUCACGAAGCCGAAGCCUCUGGAGCGCUUGGUGGUGGGGUCCCGCAUGACCAUGCACUCCCGGAUCUCCCCGAAUUUGCUGAAAUAGUCGCGGAGGCUGUCUGGGGAGGUCUGCCAGCUGAGGCCGCCGAUGAACAUCUUGCCGGGGUCGUGCUGCGCCUCGCCGGGGCCGCCCGAGGUCGCCUGGCUCCCGUCCGCCUCCAUGGCCGCGCGGAGCCCGCAGCGAUCCGCGCCGAGCGAGAGACCCCCCCCCCC